rnacentral:rRNA from 1 species
AACGCAGCGAAGGGCGAUAAGUAAUGUGAAUUGCAGAUUUUCAGUGAAUCAUCGAAUCUUUGACGCACCUUGCGCUCCUUGGUAUUCCGAGGAGCAUGCCUGUUUGAGUGUCAUUAAAUUCUCAACCCCAGCGGUUUGUUGGGGCUUGGACUUGGAGCGUGCUGGCGAAGGUCGGCUCCUCUUUAAAUGCAUCAGCGGAAAAACGAACUUUUCCCUUCAGCGUGAUAAUCCUGUUGCGCUGUGGUGGGUCAAGGUCCCGCUCACAAUCGUCCUCGGACAAAAGACACAUCUGUUUUGACCUCAGAUCAGGUAGGACUACCCGCUGAACUUAA